CUCCAUUUCCCAAUAAAAGCCCUGUCACAACCUCAACCCUUAGCUCUGGCGUGAUGGCUUUCCUUCACCCUUGGGCCUGUGUGCUAGUCAGCUGCAUUUCUGUUUCUUUAGUAGGAGCGUUCAAUCUCUCAGAUCUGUAUCCUCCACUGUGGAAUGAGAGUCCUGGUCAGUUCAGUGACUACAGGGUGGAGAAUGGAAAGCACAUUAUCGAUCCCUGGGUGUACCCUGAGAGAAUGGGGAUGUAUAAAAUCCUCAUGAACAAGACAGCCAGUUAUUUUGAAAAAUUUGCACCAGAUAAUGAACAAAAUAUUUUAUGGGGAUUGCCUUUGCAGCAUGGCUGGCAAUAUACUACAGGCAGAUUAGUUGAUCCCAGAGGAAGGACAGAAUGUGGCUAUGAAACUGGAGAUCAUUUGUGCAUCUCUGCGUACAGUUGGUGGGCUGAUAUGAAUUACUUUCUAUCUGCAUUACCCUUCCUUGGUGCGGUUGAUUCUGGCAUAAUGGGGAUAUCAUCAGAUCAAGUAACGCUUUCACCACCACCCACGGAUCAGACGAAGUUUUGUCUUGAUGUUUCUAGUUGUCAGUCAUCCUUUCCUCAGACAAUGAGCAAGUGGAAUACCUUUUACAAGCAUUUGCAGUUAACGUCUAGUAGCUUUGAUGACUUAUUGAAGUACUUAUGGGACGCACAUACCUCAAGCUUGAAAGAUGUCUACAAAGUUUUUGAAGAUAGGUUGGAAUAUUAUUCUGAACCAGAAGCAGAUUUUGGAAGAGAUUGGUGUGUGGCUGUGGACUAUCUAGCUACAUCCCUCUUUCCUACAACGUUUAUUAGAGUGUCUGAGUUCCAGAAGGCCCUGCCACCACGAGUGCUUGUCAGUGGGGAUAAAGCCCCCUUCAUCAGCAACUUUACCGCCCUUCAGAACACAGUCCUGCUUGGUCUAAAUCUUCUUCACAAAGUGGAUAACGCUACAGGAGGCAUCAUGGGACCAUAAGAAAUGCCUGGGCUCUGCUGGCAGGUGAGCAGGGAGAAAGGCUCAUCCUGACACUGACCACAAACCUGGGAACCUUGGCACAGGGAGAAAUGGAAUAAGGAGAAGGAUACACAGUCUUGUGUUGCUGAUAAUCUCUGUAAUUUGGACAUGGCAAGAGUUAAAAACCAGCCCAUUCAUUCAUGGGAUACUUCUGCAGAUUACUUGGAAAUCAUCCUAACUGGGAGCCACAGAAUAGCUUCCUUGACAAAGGCUAGCCACUUACACCUAGUACCCUCAGCUUCAGGAAAUAUGUCCAUUGGUCAAGGUCCCUACCCCUCCCUCAAGUUCAUAUCUUGUCUCCAGAGAACAUAUGCUCAGCCACUGAUGAAAGUGUAGUUUAUUCCCAAUAUCAAUUACCCCAAGAGAGAUUCUGAAAUCAUAUCCUCUGACCUUUAGACUUUGUAGAUACCUGUCAAAUGCUAGUUCUUAUUUUCCUCAAACUCUCAUAGCCCAAUGACAAGAUCUCCAAGUAAACUACUCGAAGACCUCAUCACACAACUUGAGUUGAGACAGAAGAACCCAACUUCCUUUACCUAUAAUGUUGGAUAUAGAAAAUUCAGAGAAUAUGGUCAACUCCCUGAAAAAUAAACCUUCUCUCUUCACUUCGUUAACUUCUCAACUUUUCUCCUUCUUCACCUGAGGUGAGGAGAAAUGCCCUAGCACUUACAGAACAUUUGCUUCUGACUUCCAAGAUAUGACAAAAGGCUGUUGUCACUGACUGUAGGAACUUCAUCUUCCAAGUCCUGCAUAGACAGUCUAGCAGUUCACUCUAAAGUAUGUGGGGCUUCAUGAGUCACAUUUAGUUCUCAGGUUUUGGGCCUCUGGUAUAAUUCCAGUGCAAUGAGUCACUUUUUUUCUCUUUAGAAGUCCAAAUUCCUUAAAAAAUGGAGCAGUUUAGGAAGGACCAGUCUUUUUUUUUUUUUAAUAUGGAAUAACUGAUUUUGUUUUUCUUCAUUCUUUGCUGUACUAGAAGAAUGAAGUGCACUAUUUCUUUUAUCAGUUAGGAGGAAAAGGAGAAAAUGAACUAGUUUGUAUCAGGUACGAAGCUAAAAAUUAGAGCUGUGGAUUAAAUGGGGCACCAAAACUAUUAUCAAAGAAGGGACGAAGUAACAAAAAAAUUUACCUUUUGGAAAAACAAAAAAUAAAUGACUAAAGGGAGGAAAGAUAAGGAAUGGUAGGUGGGGUCCCCAAGAACAUAGUAACAAUCCUUAGGAAGUUAGCAAAGCAGAGAGGGGUCCACAAUUAUGUAAUCACCUGAUGGUGGAAGGAUAGGUCAAGUCACAUGAAAACUGAGCUCUGACCACGGAAAGUGUGGUGUGACAGGAAACCUAAUAAGUUAGUAUUGAGAAAGUCCAUUUUCCAUCUGUAACAGAGUGAUUAAGAAGUGAACUGAACAACUUGUGAACCCUGAGCUAAGACACUUGAUAAUGAUUUACCUUUUAUAUCUGACCCUCUCUGCUCUUCCAACCUGAUAUUACCACUUUGUGCUACAGUCAUUUUAAACUGCUCCUAGAUCUUGAUAGAGUUAUGCCUUCACACUACCACCAACAGGAGAUGCUCCUGAAGGAGAAUAAAAUGGCCACAUUUAGGCUAACAGAUUGCUUAUUCUUAUGCUUGCCUUUAAAACAGUCAACCAACCUGAUUGACAAGUUGCUACUUACAGUUCCAGGACCGUUGUUAGAAUAAAGCUAUCAAUUUUACUGUUUCUGUUUUAUUCCAGUAAUCAAAAGUAAUAAUCAUACUUGGUUUCUGAGUUGUUCUCCAGGGAGAAGGUCACAGAACUGUAACCUUACAAAAUAGCUUGAAUUACCAAGGAGACCACGCCUUGGGCACUUAUGAGAUAAAGAGAUUGAAAAAGUGACAACAGAUAGCCUCUAUAGAAUUGGUCACCUGGAGGCAUCAUGAGCCACUCUAAGUCUUAUGACGAGAAAAUGAUUCUGUUCAUUGUUACUGAUUUAUUGUUUGAGC